UGACCUCAAAUCAGGUAGGACUACCCGCUGAACUUAAGCAU
rnacentral:rRNA from 7 species